rnacentral:lncRNA from 1 species
GGAGAGGCUCUCAUUCUAAAGGGCUGGGAAAUAUCCUUCCCUAGACGAAUUUUGUAGCAAGAAAGUGUGAAAAAUAAACACUCGAGUCGGGAAAAGCAAAAGUUUGCAGACAAUAAGGGAUUUCAAUGUAAAUAUCUAGGAAAGUGAAAAAUACACCUGAAGCCAGCCAAAAGCGUAUAACUUGGCAACCCUAGCUUCGUUGGGAGAAUAAAAUUACACUGUCCAAGAAACUUUGCUACACAGACAUGCUUUGCCUUGUAAAGCUAAGUAUUGCGACCACCACAGUGGUCACCAGGUUUUUCUUAAAACUAUUGGCACUUAAAUCUUUUAAAUUGACAAAGAUUGCAUUUUUCAUAUAAAAACAUACUAUGUGAGGCUGACCUAGCUUAAGAAAGCCUAUAUAUUAGAGCUAGGAUGAAAGUACGUAAUAUGAAUUUCUAAGCGAGAUAAAACAGCUGCAUGUUGACGUUUUGAUAAGUCUUGAAGUAAUGAUUUAUUUUAUAAGUUCAGAAUAACAUAUUAAAGUGUCCUUAAGAACAUGCAGAAUUAGGUUAUUUCACCUCACUAAAAACUAUAGGCUCAAUGGAAAAAAAAUAGAUUCAUGAAAUGAAGAGAACUUGCGCAAUUAGAAGAGAUGAGAUGCCAGAUAAACAAAAAUCACCUUUCACCAAAGAUGAUGCCGAAAACCUCAUAUUGCCUAACAUAGGAAAAUUUGGCAUGUGCAAAUUUUAUUGUAUACACAAGCAUACAAAUCUAUUGUUGUAUAGAUUUAUGGUGACGUGUGUUGAGAAUUCAGGUUGUGAAGAAUCAGCAUUUGAUCCCAAGGCCCUGCUGGCAUGCCACCUGAGCAACCAUUUCCAAAGAGCAGUUGAUGAGGAAGGUGAGGUGUAUCCUGUGAGCUGGCAAAACUGUUAUGGUGAGGAAUAUCAACAUGUGAACUCUGCAAGCUGGAAAUUUCUAGAAUGUUUUCAAUGAUUGGUUGUGCAGCUGUCAUUCUUUGUCUUAUUCUUUUUCAGCAGCUCCUUGAGCCAGCAACCGUUGUCUUUAGUUCAUGUAUAAAUAUUUGAAACGAUUGUAUUUUUAUUUCAAGCUUCUUUUAAUAAAAGAAAGGCAUGUUUGUUUCUCUGCUGCUUGCAUAUUCAAGCAAUUCAUUAAGAAUUUAAGUUGGUAUCAGAGCAACUUUAAGCUAUGGAAAGCAGCAGAAAUUCACAAACAAACAUGAAUCAAACACUGGAAAAUCCAGACGACCAAAACUUGAAUCAAAAUCAACCAGAAAAUGUUGAUGACCAGAAUCCAAACAACACCACCAGAAAUAUGACCAUAGUGAAUCCAUCUCCUACCCAACACAUCACCAGCAACACAUAUGUGUUCACCAAUCCUAUCAAGCUAACACAAAACAAUUUUAUGCUCUGGAAAUCUCAAGUGAUUUCCAGCAUAAGAGCAAAUGAGCUCGAAGGCUUCAUAAAUGGGAGCCAUAUUUGUCCCCCCAGAUGCUUCACUAAUCCUGGACCUAAUCAAACUACUAUCACCACCACAAAUCCAGAAUACCAAAUCUGGAAGAAACAAGACCACAUUCUUCUGAGCUGGUUGCUCUCAUCACUCAGUGAAGGUGUGCUUGGCACCGUGGUGGAUUGCUCUACUUCAUGUGAAGUAUGGACAACUCUUGCCAAUCAAUAUGGUGCAAGAACAAGAGCUAGAGUUCUAUACCUGAGAACACAGAUUCAAACCACCAAAAAGGGGUCCCUUACAAUUCAUGACUAUUAUUCCAGAAUGAAAACUAUCCUAAACACUCUUAGAGCAGCUGGAAAUAACAUGACUGAUGAGGACUUCAUUAUGUGUGUUUUAGCUGGAGUAGGACCUGAAUAUGAUUCUGUAGUCACUAAUAUUAACUCUAUGCCAGAAACUCCCUCACUAUCAGAAGUGUAUGGAAUGCUCCUCAGCCAAGAAACUAGAACUGAACAGAACCUCAGCACAGGGUCACUUGAGGCCAACUUCACACAAAUGAGAAAUGGUAGGAGGAACUGGGGGUAUGGUGAAAGAUUUGGUAAUCAACAACAACCUGGAAUAGUCUUUAGAACCCCUGGUAGUAGCUCUGGAAAUGGUGGAAGUGGUGGUCCUGGUCAGGCAAACCAAAAUGCUCAAGACAAAGGGAAAGGCAAGGCUGUUGCAGAAAAUGAGGGCUCUGAGUCAAAGGGUCCAUGCCAGAUUUGCUUCAAAAUGGGUCAUACAGCUGCUGAAUGCUGGCAUAGGUUCAAGAAAAAUUAUGUGCCACAACCAAAUAGGAGAAGAGGGGCAUACAUGGCCUCAGCAGAAGGACAGAGCAGCAAUGCCUGGUACCUGGACAGUGGUGCAACAAACCAUGUAACCAAUGCCAUUGGGAACAUGAACUUGAACUCAGAAUACCAAGGUAAUGACAAGCUCACUGUUGGUAAUGGUAAUAAACUUCACAUCUCUCACAUUGGCUACUCUAUGUUACCUACUUAUAAUCCACACAAGCACAUCAAACUAAACCAUAUUCUCUGUGUACCUGAUAUUGCCAAGAACCUUAUUAGUGUUUCUAAAUUGCUUCUUGAUAAUGAUAUUAAUGUUGAAUUUCAUAAAUCUGUUUGCUUCAUCAAGGACAAGAGCCAAGGGAAAAUUCUGGUGAAAGGAGUGGCUAGAGAUGGACUAUACGAGCUACUAUGCAUGCCUACUCAUUUGAGUGGCAACAAGGUCACAUAUGCUGCUGAGUUAUCUUCCCUUUCAGAGUCUGAGUCAAUAAGCUACAUUAGCAAUCCUAUGUCAAUGAUGUGUUUCAAUUUCAGUGUUGGUAGUAAUGAGUCUGUCAGUACCAGUGUAGCUGAGUCUAGUGAGGCUGACAAAGCAAGUAGUAGAAACCUUAGAACCAAUGAUAUGGACCUUUGGCACUAUAGGCUGGGGCAUCCAAAUUUGUCAGUCCUAAGAAACACUCUACUUUCAUGUAAUCAGCUCAAUAUCAAUAAAAACAUUUUUCCUUCAUUUUGUAAUGCCUGUCAGUAUGGAAAGCAAGCAAAACAAAGCUUCAAAAGCAUUGAAACCAAAACCAGCACAGCCUUAGAAUUGGUUCAUAGUGACCUAUGGGGACCAGCACCUAUCCCAUCAACCCAUGGACAUAAAUAUUACAUAUCCUUUGUGGACGAUAGAACUAGAUACACAUGGUUGUUUCCUUUAACAGCAAAAUCACAGGCCCUUGACACAUUCAUUGUGUUCAAAACUCAAAUAGAAAAUCAGUUAAAUCUGAAAAUCAAAGCCUUACAAACAGACAUGGGUGGAGAGUUUAAAACAUUUGAACCAUAUCUAAAAAGAGAAGGAAUAGCUCUAAGACACUCAUGCCCAUAUUUACAUGAACAAAAUGGAAAGGUGGAAAGAAAACACAGACAUAUUGUGGAAACUGGUCUAGCAUUGUUAGCUCAAGCAAAAAUGCCUUUAAAGUAUUGGCAAGAAGCCUUCAGCUAUGCCACAUAUCUCAUAAACAGACUGACCUCACCUACACUCGAAAACAAAACUCCCUUUGAGCUGUUAUAUCUCACCAAACCAGAUUACUCACAAAUCAAAGUUUUUGGCUGUGAAUGCUAUCCAUACUUGAGACCCUACAACAAGCAUAAGUUUGACUUCCAUACAUCCAAAUGCAUACUGCUGGGUAUUAGUAUCAGUCAUAAAGGCUAUGUUUGCAUGCAUCAUUCAGGAAGAGUCUACAUUUCAGCUAGUGUCAAGUUUAAUGAAAGCUCAUUCCCUUUUCAAAAUGACUCAAAUUUCUGCAAGUAUAGGCUCACUGACCAAAAUGUGUCCCCCACAGUCCUUGAAAAGUUUCAAGUUGUGUCUUUUUCCACAAGUGUCCCCUCUGAGUCAACACAGCAAAAAUCAGCUCAUAGUCAAUCUCAGGCCACUGCUGGAAACUCAGAACAACUCUCAAAUCCUGUUCAAGAUGAAGCAUGUGAGAAUUUGAACCUCAACACUAUGUCAGAUAACCAAUCCCCUGCUCAACUCCCAUCAAACUCCACAGAAGAAAACUGCAGCCUGCCACCUAUAACAGAACCAAACACCCAAGCCUCCAACACUCAAAAGGAAUUACCUUUACAUCCUAUGAUCACAAGAUCAAAGGCCGGAAUCUUUAAACCAAAAGUCUACCAAACAUCUACUCAACCUGAAACCUCUUUACCCCAAGACUCAAUUGUGGCAUUGAAGGACCCUAAGUGGAAAAGAGCCAUGGAAGAUGAAUACAAUGCCUUAAUCAAAAACCAAACCUGGACCUUAAUACCACAUGACCAGAACUACAAGCUCAUUGGAAACAAGUGGGUGUACAAAGUGAAGGAGAAUCCAGAUGGUACCAUAAAUAGAUACAAAGCCAGACUUGUCGUGAAAGGUUUUCUACAGACACCAGGACUUGAUUUUAAUGAGACUUUCAGCCCUGUAGUCAAAGCUGCAACCAUUAGAAUCAUUCUGACUUUGGCUGUGAAUAAUGAUUGGAUGUUGAGGCAAGUGGAUAUAAAUAAUGCUUUUCUGAAUGGGGAGUUGACAGAAACAGUGUACAUGCCACAACCUGAAGGGUUUGAAGACAAAAGAAAGCCAAAUCACAUUUGCAAACUCAAGAAGGCUCUUUAUGGCUUGAGACAGGCACCCAGAGCCUGGUUUGACAAGUUAAAGAGUGCUCUGUACUCUUGGGGGUUCAACAAUUCAAAGUGUGAUACCUCACUAUUUUUUAGAAGGAACAAUGCUGAAAUGGUCAUUAUACUUGUGUAUGUGGAUGACAUAAUUGUCACUGGAAGUGAUAGCAAAGGAAUUGAGGGUGUGAUAGGAAAGCUAAGUGAAGCUUUUGCGUUGAAAGAUCUAGGAAAUCUGAGCUACUUCCUUGGGAUACAGGUCAUAAGAAAUCAGAAUUCUAUUCUGCUUUCUCAAGCUAAAUAUGUCCAAGACCUAUUAACUAAAACCGAGAUGGAGAGCUGCAAAGGAAUAGAGUCUCCAUUCAGCAUAUCAGAAAAGCUGAAGAAAGGAGAAGGUGCCAAGCUCGAUAACCCUUCAUUCUACAGAAGUGUUAUUGGAAGCCUGCAGUAUGCUGUUCUAACGAGACCUGAACUUGCCUACUCUGUCAACAAGCUGAGCCAAUACAUGUCUGACCCAAGACAACCUCACUGGAUAGCCUGCAAACGAGUGUUGAGAUAUCUAAAGAACACUAGUAACAUGUGUUUACAAUUCAAAAAAUCAGAACAUCUUGAUUUGGUAGCCUACACAGAUGCUGACUGGGCAAGUGAUCCAGAUGACAGAAGAUCAAUAAGUGGGUAUUGUGUGUUCCUAGGAGAUAAUUUAGUAGCUUGGAGCUCAAGGAAACAAGGAAUGGUGGCAAGAUCUACAGCAGAGUCAGAGUACAGAGCCAUGGCUCUAUGCACCACUGAAAUCACUUGGAUUAACUCUCUGUUUGAUGAGCUGAAGAUUGAAAUGCAGAGAACUCCAAUGAUCCUGAGUGAUAGCACAAGUGCAGCAGCAAUAGCCACAAAUCCUGUGUAUCACUCAAAAACAAAACACUUUGAAAUAGAUUUGCACUUCAUCAGAGAUAAAGUUACUCAAGGAGAGCUAGAUAUAAAUUUUGUGGCCAGCAGAGACCAAAUUGCAGAUGUUUUAACCAAACCAUUGCCUUACUACAAGUUCAGUCAAUUUCGAAGCAAACUCAAUGUCUUUGACAAGACCUUAAGUUUGAGAGAGGGUGUUGAGAAUUCAGGUUGUGAAGAAUCAGCAUUUGAUCCCAAGGCCCUGCUGGCAUGCCACCUGAGCAACCAUUUCCAAAGAGCAGUUGAUGAGGAAGGUGAGGUGUAUCCUGUGAGCUGGCAAAACUGUUAUGGUGAGGAAUAUCAACAUGUGAACUCUGCAAGCUGGAAAUUUCUAGAAUGUUUUCAAUGAUUGGUUGUGCAGCUGUCAUUCUUUGUCUUAUUCUUUUUCAGCAGCUCCUUGAGCCAGCAACCGUUGUCUUUAGUUCAUGUAUAAAUAUUUGAAACGAUUGUAUUUUUAUUUCAAGCUUCUUUUAAUAAAAGAAAGGCA